CAGGUGGAGGACAGAGAUUGGCCUGGGAUAAAGGAACCAAAGAAGACAAUAGGCUGAAAGAAUCAGAGAAAGGUAAUGCAUGUCUCCACCGUGCUUUCUAGAAUUUCUUUUGCAAAAUAUUGAAAGUAUUUAUUUCUUGUAAGGAUAUAUAUCCUAUUACACCUUGAAGUUUCCUUUAUGGAGUAAUCAAAAGCUUCUCAGAAGAAACAGAGGCAAGGCUAACCAAAAGAGACUACAAUAGGGAGCUCAUUUAAAAAUACUAAACCGGGGGCGCCUGGGUGGCGCAGUCGGUUAAGCGUCCGACUUCAGCCAGGUCACGAUCUCGCGGUCCGCGAGUUCGAGCCCCGCGUCAGGCUCUGGGCUGAUGGCUCAGAGCCUGGAGCCUGUUUCCAAUUCUGUGUCUCCCUCUCUCUCUGCCCCUCCCCCGUUCAUGCUCUGUCUCUCUCUGUCCCAAAAAUAAAUAAACGUUGAAAAAAAAUAAAAAUAAAAAUACUAAACCGUAUUGGGAGAGAAAAUCAACACUUCAUCCCCAGAUGCUAAAAACACAUGACAAGUUAUGACCAACAAUACAGUACCAGGAACAGAAGGAAGGAAAACAGUGUUAGGAGGCCCAAUAUGCUUAUUGACAUUUCUAUGGCUCACUCUAAAGGAAAGAGGAUGAGGUAAAAUACAACGAACGUGUUUCCAGCGUGCAAUCACAAAGUAGCACGAGCCCAGGGAAACUUCUUACAUGUCACUUAAUUCUGCAUAUUAAAUUAAUCAUGAAAUAGUAGCUACUUCCUGGCAACGAUAACUAUUGGUCACGAGCUGUCCUGUUGUUACCUCAAAUAAUUUUCAGUACAUUUCACAAGGUGAUUACUAUUUCAUGCCUUCCCACCGUCAUCUGCAGAUUGGAAAAUAGAGACGCCGAGAGGCAAAUCACCAAGUGUACUGAGUCUAAUGCAUUAUUUGUUUGCUCUUUAUUUAUUAUCAUUUCUUCCCCUUGGAAUCAAAGAUUUGCCUGGAUUUAAUAAUUAACCAUAGAAGACUGCACUUUUUCUUCUAAAAAAAUAUUUCUAAAUUUAUUUUUGAGACAGAGACAGAGCAUGAGUGGGGGAGGGGCAGAGAGAGAGGGAGACACAGAAUCCGAAGCAGGCUCCAGGCUCUGAGCUGUCAGCGCAGAGCCCGACACAGGGCUCGAACUCACAGACUGUGAGAUCAUGACCUGAGCUGAAGUCGGAUGCUUAACCGACUAGCCACCCAGGCACCCCUGUACUUUUUCUCUUAAUGAACAAAUCGUAAAGGCAAAAAUUGAAAAAAAAAAUCUAUUUCUAUCUCCUUGGUUUCAACUAAGUAAAAACUGAGGGACUUCUAUGGCCCACACUAAAUUCUUCUUAUAGCCAGAAAAUCAUAAAAAUAAAAUUCUCAGUGGAAAGAAGCAGGUUUCUAAAUUAAUAAUAGAAGUAGUUAUAAUUAUUAUUAAGGGAAUCUUCUUUUAUUAGGAGAAAUGAAACAGCAGUAUUCAAUUAAUAUGUGUGUUACAGAAUUAUUUUAGAAUCCACGUUUAUUUGGAAAAAAGUAUAACGCCUUUAACAAAAAUACUUUUAUUUUGCAGUAAGUAUAAAAAUAAAAAUGUAAAUGAGUAGUUUAUGUAAUUUCUAAUGCUAAAAUAGCAUUGAACUGUAUCUCUGGUGGUAUUGACAAUCUUAAUUAAGAAGUCAUUUAAUGGUAAUGUUAACAAAUCUGGCCAAUUUUUUGAGUCAGACUGACACUACUCAAGACACAAGCCUAACUGGUGUUCCCUCAGUAAGAUGCAGAGUAGAAUCUGUAAAGGAACAUCUGAUGCCAGUGAUAAAAUUAAGGUCAAGGACUUGGCAAAAUAUGUUAUACACUGUAACAGAUGUUCCCAGAUGAAAUCACAUUUCUAUUAAAAACUAUACAGAUGCUCAGUUGAUAGAACCUAGAAUCUCAGAACCGUAGAACCAGAAGGGAUUUUUAGAGACUAGCCAUUCCCAGCAUCUUAAAGUUGAGGACGCUGGGGCUUCUGGGUGGCUCAGUUGGUUGAGCGACCAACUCUUGAUCUCAGCUCAGGUCGUGACCUCACGGCUGGUGAGUUUGAGCCCCGCGUGGAGCUCUGUGCUGACUGUGUAGAGCCUGCUUGGGACUCUCUCUCUCCCUCUCUCUCUGCCCCUCACUCCCUCAUGUGCGCGUGUGCUCUCUCAAAAUAAAUAAACUUAAAAAAAUAAAAUAAAACAAAGUUGAGGAAACUGACACACAAAGCAUUUAAGUGAUGAGCACAAGGUCCCACGGUUGGUUAUGUGUCCAGACUAGCGCUCAAGCCCUUUCUAUGAUUCCAGGUUGUCUGUAACUAUGACAAAUGAAGGGACGUUUUUAAUAUUUUAGUUAAAAACAUAUUUAGGGUGAAUUAUAUUGUGUGGUGAGACUAGAGACAGGAAUAUCAACCCAGACCAUUUUACCUUUUGGAUCUUCCCUGAUUCUUGCUCUUGGAUAUUUACUCUUAUGUUACACAGUAAAUUGUAUUUACCCUUAAAUUACGCUUCUAUUUCCCCCUAGAGUACAAAUCCCAAGGAAUGCUACCAUGUUCCAGGCCUUAGGAAGACGCCAAACUAAUAUUAAAUCUGCAACACAUUUUUUUCAAUUUCAGUAGUACUAUUAAAGAUCAGCAAAUACUAGCACCAUACUAGUGUGUGGGUGGCACCUAAUGCAGAUGAUGGGUAAACACUUUCUCAGUUGUUCUUUCACAAGAUUUAAAUUUUUUUUUUUACAUUUAUUUAUUUUUGAGACAGAGAGGGACAGAGCAUGAAUGGGGGAGGGUCAGAGAGAGAGGGAGACACAGAAUCUGAAACAGGCUCCAGGCUCUGAGCUGUCAGCACAGAGCCCGAUGCGGGGCUCGAACUCACGGACCGUGAGAUCAUGACCUGAGCCGAAGUCAGUCGCCCAACCGACUGAGCCACCCAGGCGCCCCCACAAGAUUUAAUAUUAUCCAGAGUUUGGGUGCUCAGAGUAAACUUCUAUGAAUCGCAAAAGAUGUGGCAACAAAUGGGCAGAUACCUAACACUACCAAAAUAAGAAGCACUGUAGUGAACGUCACAUGCUUUUUCUUUCAUAGGGAAAUGAAGUGGACAGUGACACAACACACGUAGAGAAAAAGCAUGUAAUUCUGAGAUACAUACAACUUCUCACUUGUGAAUUGGUAAGACCUUAUCACAGAGGGGGAAUGUGAGUUCUAUUAUAAUCUCUUUCAUCAUGGCAGGAGGGAUUCCGACCCCAGCUCUUCACGGACCAACUGGGAUAGAUUUUGUAGAGGAGAGACACCAAUAAAAUGAGAACGAGACUAACUUUAAUCCCAAUAACAAAGAUGCAAAACUAAUGAUCUCUUUCCAUUCUAGCCAAUGGCAGAACUGGCUAUUGUGGCCAAUAACCUAGAAUUUAGCAUGGACUCCUUACUUGUACCCAUCCCCCGCCUCAAAAGAAAAAAAAUCAUUCACCUUUAUCAAGACUACAUCUCACUAUCUUAAAUUCACUUCAGUGGUUCUCACAUGUAUGGGUUUCAGAAUCCCCUGGGGAAACUGUAUUGGUACAAAUACAAAGGCCCAUGAACCCUCCUACAUCAAGGGGCCUGGGCCUCUGUGGGCUUUACUAACCAUUCACACGAUUAUGGUAUGCAACAAAUGUGAGAAACACUACUUUAGGGUAUGCUCUUAAUUUUCCUUUCCCAGAUAAUUGCACUCGCUUCUUAAUUGUUUUGCCCGACUCCAGCUUCUUUCUGUACCAAUCCACUCUUCAGCCAGUCAACAAACCUGAAAAAGUUCAAACUUAAAAAAAAAAAAAAUUAAUGGCUGCUAAUCACACUUGAGAGUAAGUCCAGAUUUGUUAUGUACUCAACGCCCUUCAAGAUUUGACUCUUGUAGGGGCGCCUGGGUGGCCCAGUCGGUUGGGCGACCAACUUCGGCUCAGGUCAUGAUCUCGCAGUCCGUGAGUUCGAGCCCUGUGUCGGGCUCUGCGCUGACAGCUCAGAACCUGGAGCCUGCUUUGGUUUCUGUGUCUCCCUCUCUCUCUGCCCCUCCCCUGCUCAUGCUCUGUCUCUCUCUGUCUCAAAAAUAAAUAAUAUCAUUAAAAAAAUUUUUUAAAAAAUAUUUGACUCUUGUAGUCUUCUCCAGCUUGAUUUAUCAUCACUCCCCCUUAGGUGCACAGUGCCUUCCUGGAGUCCAGGUCAUUUACCAUCAUUCACAUACUCAUUCAAAAAUUAUUUAUUGAGCUCUUAGCAUAAGCGCAACACUGGAGCUUAUACUGUGGAUAAGGUGGUGAAGAAAUAGAAAUCAUACCAGUUCUCAAAAGGUGAAAAAUAGGCAAGUGAACAUACUUAACUUCAUUAGAAUUUUAAUAGAUGCUCGAAAGAGUAGGAGGUUGUUACAAAAGCAUAUAUGAUGGGGGCCUCACCUAGUCUGCGGCUUUUCAGAGGUAACUCCCUCAAGCAAGGUAUUUUUCAGCUAAUGCUUGAAGUUUUUAUAGAAAUCAAAAGAUAAAUGGCAAGAGGUGCAGAGGGGCCUUUAAACAUAGGGAACAGAAUGUGCAAAGGUCCAGUGGUGAGAGGAGAACAUUUUCAAGGAACUAAAAGAAGGUCAUACAGUGGUACAUCCUAUUUGUGGGGAGACUUUCCAAGAUCUCCAGUGGAUGGUUGAAAGUGCAGCUGUACUAACCCUACAUAUAAUAUGUUUUUUCCUACGAUACAUACCUAUGAGGAAGUUUAAUUUAUAAAGUAGGCACAGUAAGAGAUGAACAACUCUUAAUAGCCAAUAAUAAAUAGAACAAUUAUAACAAGGUACUGUAAUAAAGGUUAUGUGCAUGGGGUCUUGGUCAAAAUACCUUACUCUGCUCUACUCACCCUUCUUUUUCUUGUGAUGACGGGAGAUGAUAAAGUGCCUCUUUUACUAUGAUUUGCAAUAUUGAAAAAUCCGUGACCUAGAAGUGUAAAACAAAAUGAAAUUCAACCUAUCCAAUAUCAAGAGAAAGAUCUUUCAUAUUAACACACAUAACGACUAUUGAUCUCCAGAGAACCUAUGUGUCAGGGAUUAGAGGCUAACCGAUCUCAUCACGUCAUACUAUCAAAUCUGUACGUGGAGGACGCUGUAAUCCACAACCUUCUGGAAAAGAGCCUGCGACGCCAAGAGGAGGUAACAGACCCUACAUGACACAGACAGAAAGUGGGAAGCCUGGAGCUCACGCUCAGGUCUCGGGCUCUAUGGUUCUCAUUCACCCCUUAGUGUGCUGUGAGCCUAAUGAAACAAUGGAGCUGUAUUUGGGGCUGAAGAAGUGGAUGAUGAUCUCCACAUUCAGAUACAAGAGUACUAAUGGGAAUUUACUCUCUUUUCUAAUUAAUUGAGAAAAACAUGUCAGAAGAGAUGAAAAUUUUGAGUUAAUUGGUUCAGGGAAAUGAGAUAACUUGAUUGAGCAAGAGUAUGGGAUAGCCAGUAGAUGUUUAUUAGAGAGGGAAAUGAGCCUCACCUAGAGUCCUGGGGAGAGUCCUGGCGGGCUGGGCCUGAAAAGCAUGGUUUCCGCAGAAGGGAAAGAGUGGAGACAAGAUUGCAAAAGGAGAUACUCAGCCAUGAGAAACUGUUUGUGGCAACGUGUGCUUUGCAAGUCUGCCUUCCUGGCAAACUUGAGUUUACAUCAUCCAUCUAUCUCCUUGCUUUAUUAACUCACUCACUUUCUUCUUGAAUUCCAAAAGCAGAUCUGAUUGUUUGCUACAUAACUUGCACGCCUCUAGGUGCUGGCCAUAUAAAGACAUAGUGGCACACCCUUUCCCCUCAUAGAGCUGUUUUAUUUUUUUUAAGUACAUUCAAUUGCGGAGCCCAACGUGGGGCUUGAACUCACUGAGAUCAAGACCUGAGCUGAGAUCAAGAGUCAAGCCCUUACCUGACUGAGCCACCCAGGUGGCCCUUUCGUCAUAGAGUUUUACAUCCAGGGGACAGCACAGAACCAUAAACCAGAACAUGUAAUCUUAUAUGACAAGUCCUAAAAUAGCUGCUGAGGGUGAUUCGGAGAUAUGGCAGGNGGGGGGGGGGGGGGGGGGUGGGGGGGGGGGGGGGGGGGGGGGGGGGGCGGGAAUAUUAAGAAGUCAGAAGGAGUAUUUUUCAAGAACUCAGUCUUAAAGAAUGGGAAUUAAAUGGGUAGAAGAGAUUAAAAAGGUUUUAAGUAAAGGGGUGCCUAGGUGGCUCAGUCAGUUAAGCGUCCGACUCCUGGUUUCCACUCAGGUCACAAUCUCGCGGGUUGUGAGUUUAAGCCCCACCUCAGGCUCUGCGCUACAGUGCAGUACCUGCUUGGGAUUCUCUCUCUCCCUCCCUCUCUCUGCCCCUCCCCUGCUCAUGCUCGCUCUCUCUCUCUCUCUCUCUCUCUCUCAAAAUAAGUAAAUAAAACUCAAAAAAAAAAUGUUUUCAGUGAAGAGAAUGAUAUCUGGGAAAUUCUUGAGGACAGAGGCAAAGAGUUUGAUAGGACCAGAGCAGAAAAUGCUUGUGGGCUUGAAAUGAAAGAUGAGACAAAAGAAGCAGGCAGGUGCCAUGUCACAUGAAGGAGCUUGGAUAGCAAGCUUUGAGAGAAACCACAAAGCUCUGGGAAGCCACCAAAAGAUUUAAAUCAGCAGAGUGAUAAAAUCAGAUACAAGCCUAGUAAAGAUCAUUUUGGAUGCAAUGUGAGAAGAAGACAGGAGGAAGUCCAGGCAGGAGGCAUGGAGACCGGUUGGAAGGCUGGUCCCAAAACUGAGUGAUUGGGCAAAUGGUUAUGGAUGUGGGAACACAGGACAAGCAGUAGACUGGAUUAGAGAAAACGAGUUUCUCUCCCAAUUAUUUUUCCACAAAUUCCCAUCAUCUCUUCUUUAACAUAUUAAUAAGGAGAAGGAAAAAAAUAUAUAUAAUUGGUCAAGAAUGGAUUUGGUUAUUCUUGUGCUUAUUUUUUGGCCCCAAUCUGAAUGUAAGCUUCCAGGGGACUGCGUUUGUUGUAAAUCCACAGAUGCAGGAGACCUGAACUCAGAGGGACCCUGGCGGGCAAUGUUCUCACCCCGUUCCCUCCAGUCUCCACUCCUCAAGAUUUCAAAAUAUAGGAAGGCACUUCUUCACGGUGACUUCAUGAUGAUCUUGGAUGGGUAAAAACCUAAGCCUCUGUCAGGAAUAAAUGAACUCAUUAAGAAUAUGGUUUUUACUUCGGUGCACUUACCUUUUGCCAAGUAGUGUCUGUUACGCCCAGAUUCACAUUAGCAGGCAGCAUGAAGGAGAGAAAAGCAAAGCAUCCACCACUUUGGAAUGGAUUUCUUACCUUCUUCACUGCGGAUAAGGGGCAUUAUUGAUCUGAUUCGGCUAGGUCAAUUAGCAGAGCAAACAGAUUCCUAGACUGGAGAAAAAGCUAAAUGACUUUUGUCCUUGACCUAGAGAAAUUACCUGGGCAACCAGAACUUCCGUUUCUAUGUCUCCUAAAUGAGCCUGGUAAGUGGUAUACUAUCCAAAAGAGUGAGUCUCGAGCCCAGCAGAUUUUGAUGUGGUUUGGGAACCACUGCUCCAUGUAUAAAGAUCGUAGGGAGCUUUUGAAAGCGGAUAUAUUUUAUCUGGGCUCCCUCCCUCAGAACGGGAUAAGCACAACCUAAUGUGAGAUUCAAGCAAAAUGUAAAAAUAUCUCCAUAAAUGAAUGUUAGUGGUUUCAGGAAACUAUAAUGCUGCUGUAAUAAAUAAUGCUCGAUAACAAAAAUACUUGGUUAUUUCAUAGUAUUAGUUGCAUGAGGAAACAGCCUUAAUUAUAGCACUUUCGUUUUCUUCUUGUAUAGCAAGCAGGAGUCUCUGGUAGCAAACAUAAGAAGCCAACUCUACAAUCUAAGGAGAAAAUAAAACUUGUGGAAGGUCACGGGGGUGACUCAUGGGAAUGAAAGGUAAGGUGAGAACAAAGCCUAGAAGACUAGAAACAUUUGACUCUAGGGACGUGGGUAGUAGGAACCAACAGAAGUCUCCAAAGGGGGCAGUUGGAAAAAGUAAAAUUCUUAUCAAAGCCAGUGCUGUUAAAAAUGAUGUUCAGGGAGUAACGAGCCGGCAGAAAAAGGAGCGAUGUUUAAGAAGAAAACGUGCUUUAGAACUUCUGAGAAGCAGUCAUUCAAAAUGCAUAGACUUUAGUUCUUCAGUUAGUGUUGAUCCCUUGAUGAAUUAUACUCAUUUAAACCUGGAAAGAGCCCAACAAAUAUUCUAUAUAAAGAACAUACCUUAGAAGAAGACAGCAUGAGGAAUAGUAAUAAUGUUUUAAACCUGGCGGUGCUACCUUGAUUCCAGCAAAGUAAUGAAAGAACAAAAAACAAAGAGGAAAAAAAAAAAGAAACAGGUUGAGUUGUGCGAUGAUAAACUUACCAAGGCCUCACAAGUCACACUAGGUCAGGGAGGGGAGGGCAGUGAGGAGAAGGAGGUGGAAGACGAGGAGGAGGAAGAAACCUACCUUUUAAGUGGUAAAAUAAAACUUAAUUUUGGCAAAAUUUAUAAUGAACUAAAAUUUAGUUCCUUUCAAUGUGUGUCAAAUUUUCUUAAAAUAAAUGCCCUUACAGGGCCAUGAAUGAUAUCCUGCCCCACCCAAUGGAUAAUUUGACUUAACAGCUGUUUAGUUCAACAACAUUUUCAGACAAUAAUUCACAUCACACUUUAGUGUUCAUUGUCACCGAAUUGAAUCCAGAAGUCUUGAUGAUAUGAUGAUAGAGUUUAUAGGACCAAUUGUAUGAAAUGAAGCGUGUCAUUUUCCUAACACCACAGGAAGAAGAGUCUCUUUCAUUGUGAGACCUCGCGCUCAGUCUUACGUUUAUUAACCUUGUAGGUUUAGGCAAUCAUUCUGACCUUUUUACGUUUCAAUCUCAUCAUACAAAAGGAGACUAUUACCUUAUUACCAACCCUGCUUAUCUCAUAGGAUUGUGAAGUACAUGGGGCACAAUGAUUGACGGUAAAAUCACUUUGCAGAUUCUACAGCACCUUGUGAAUGCAAGGGUUAAUUGUAGAUACUUUGACGUAUUACUUAGUAGUAAGCUUCAGGAAAAGAAUUGUAAUGUUUUGGAUUUCUUGACUAGAGGCCGUAAAAGCAACAGUCAGAGAAUUCACGUACAUCACAACCUUUUGAAGCAACAUUUCACAAGCCAAAACAACUUUCUGUUUGUUUGUUUUGAGACAGAGAGAGUGUGAGCAGGGGAGAGGCAGAGAGGCAGAGGAAGAGAGAGAAUCUUAAUCUCCGCACUGAGUGUGGAGCCCUGUGCGGGGCUCGACCUCAUGACCAUGAUAUCAUGACCUGAGCCUAAAUCAAUAGUCAGACACUUGACCAACUGAGCCACCCAGGUGCUCCCAAAACAGCUAUUUUGAAGAGUUAACUUCAAGGUGCUAAAUUUAUAUCGUAAACCUUAAAAAGUAGUCAUUUAUGUCUGUGAUAUAUGUAUCUCUAUACACCAUUUCUUUUUGAAGGCCAAUGUGAAACAUCACUAAAAAAGGCUGCAGUUGCAACACCACCUUUGAUAUGACGGCACAUGAGCAUAAUUAAUAUUGCAUACAAAUGCCGUCCCUAAGUAUUAGAUAGCGAGCUCACUGCCGAAUUGUUCUGCAAAUGAUAGGGUACGUUUCUUUUAGGUUAAAUCACUGGGAAUUUUUUUAAUUGCCCUUUAAUAGAAAUCAUACGAUAUUUUUAGCCUAGAGAAAACAGAGUCUGUGGGAACCACCUUCUCCCACCCAUGUCUUGGCAGUGGGAACUAGUGUCUCAGAUCAAGACUAUUUACUGAUCCCCAUGGUAACAAUGUGCUCUUUCUUGCAUAAAUCCUAAUAUCAUAAGGACCUAAUGGUUCUUUAGUAUGGCAUCUCAACCCCAAAAUAACUAUGCUGAUGUGAAAUAUAAAUGCUCUAAAUAGAACAUUUUUUUUAAAUUAAAAGUUAAAAACUAUUGCUAUGAUGCUAGAAAGUUUGAUGUAGCCUUUUCAGUAGAAAACGAACAUUUUGGAAUGAACCCUCUGCCAUUUCUGAGUAUGGACGCUGGACGUUCAAAGAAGUGAUUGAGUUGGGCCUUUUAAUUUGUUACUUGGCAGAGGAUCAUGCAGGCAGGAGCAAUGUUGGGGUUGGGGCUCUGAAUAAUGUCCCCAUACCCAUGCAGCAACAGUCCGUGAAGACACUGCCCGGGUGCAUGGGCUGCCGGGGUUUAGAGGUCAUUACCCUCUUGUUUUCCAGGCUUAACCAGAAAUUAAAUCCCUAAAAGCUUCACCUACCCUGAGACCUGCUUACUCCAAGGUUGCUAGAUGCAUUAAAGCACACUGGCUAAGAUUUCAAACAACAAGAAAGAUUAAUCGCUUUGGGAUCAUCAAAAGAAAAAUGCUGUACGAAUACCAACAAAUGGUAUAUAAAAUAUAUCUAUUUUAUCUCCUGGUCAGACCUGACACCUUUAAGCCUCCAGGAUUACACGCCCGUGUUAAUAAAAGUAGUGUUCUAUGGAACGGACUUCCUUCCAUACGACGACAUUAUAAUUUUGUUCAAGACAGUGUAGGUGGUGGUGGAGAUAAUUCUUUUUUUCCUUUUGACAGCUUCCCCUCUGAUGUUUCAAAUGCAUUACUGUUUUCAAGGGCUUCAUGGAACAAAUAAAGUCACUUGGCAUUGUCACGAAGAGGAGCGUUUCGAUACUCUGGACCCAAAGAUUGUACUCCAAAUAAUGUGCUUCUUCCCUUGGCAUUAUAAAAGCAACCAGAUGAAAAAGAGCGUUGCACAUCUGAGUGUAGAAAGCAGAGAAGAGCUACAGCAAGGGUAAAGGCUGCCGAGGCUCCAGGUUGACUCCCCGGGUCUUAAAAUAAGUGGUUUUUUUGUUUGUUCUUGUUUUUGUGUUUUUAACUGAAAACAUCUAAUGAGAAUGCUAGCUGGGAAAGAUCGGGUGAAGGAACAAGUGAAUGUUAAUCCCCACUGAGGUCAGGAACUUUAUUUUAUCAGCGUUUGCAUUCCAUGUGGUGAUUGGCCCAUCAAGACCUUACACAGAUAUAGGCACAAAGGAAAGAAGGGAAAGAUUUAUGAACCAUCAAGUGGUCAUUUUUGUAAUAUAAACAGGAGGAAGAUUUUUAUUUUAAAAAGUGCUAUUAUUAAGAUAUCCUCCACAAAGCAUACGUUUGAGGAAUAUUUCUUACGUAGUUACGUGUCUGUCUUUAUGUGUCUGUGAUAUAUCUGUGUGUGAUACAUGAAGUAUGCCUAUAAAUAAUGAGGCAUAACGAAACACAUAUUUUGAACAAAUAUUUGUGUUGAAGUGGAGUUGAAUUCAAUCAGGUUAUGCUGAAGUAGUAUUGAAAUUCAAUAUCAAAUGUCGCGAUUAUAGAUUGUUCAACAGAAAACAUUUAUUGAGCUGCUUCUACGGUCUGUAUUGAUAAAAUAACAACACUGUUAGGGACCGGGAAGAAUGAAAUCACUUCACCCACAGUCAUACAACUCCAGAAAGCAGAGAACAACUUGGCUGGCUCUUGAGGCAAUGCCCACCCAAGACCAUUUAAAGUUGAGGCAUUCUUACCUGUCCGUUGUACAAUUUGACUUUGGAAUAUAUUGUUUCUUUUUUCCUGAAGGAGCCUUUUGGUCAUUGUAAUUUCAAAUCAUGACAGCUCAGAAGCUGUCCUUAAGAAUAAGAAUAAACUGAAGAACUUUUUACCUCCUCCACGGAUAGUAUCAGCGUCUACAGAUGUAGUGUGACUGUGGCAGCAGAAAAAGACAUGACACGAGACAGGUUCUCAAUGAGUUCAGACCUGGAGCCACUAUUGAUUGUGUUUGCACUUAUUCUCAGCUGCAAUCACUCAGUCUCACAGUUGGACAACACCUCUCGUCCAAAAUAAACCUUCCAUUCUUGAUUGCUCCGUAUCAGGCAGCUGCCAUUUCCAGCUGUUUCUUGAUCAGAACACAUUGCUUUAACAUUUGCCUCUUUAUGUGCUUGAAGCAAAUGAACAAGCCCAGGAAUAUUUGGAGACAUUUUAUGACACACACCAGUGUUAUUUGACUCUGCAACAAGUUAAAAACAGAUCACAAUGACUAAUGCCGACAUGGAAGAAUGGUUGUUUCCACUUACCUGUGUCUGUGGAUAAGAAAUAUGUUGAGUUUUUUGGACCAGAGAGUCUCUCCUUCCAUCAUGGUUAAAAUUGCACAUGCAGGAUGAAAAGACUGGAGAAAAGCAGAAUGAUUUACUGAACUUGUUGCCUUCAGAAAGCAAUCUCAUUAAAGUAGCUUGUAGGUAGUCUGAAAGUAUCUCAAAUAAAAUAAGCUCCAUUUUGGAGAAAUA
rnacentral:lncRNA from 1 species